AAUGAGAAAUUAAGGAGUAAAAGGUUUGGAAGGUAAAAUAACUAUACAUAAAAAAAAUAUUUUUAAAAAGGAAGAUCUUUUAGUAAUAUUUAAUAAAAUUUGUAAAGUUCUUAUAAAAAGUACUGUUAAGGAAAAGUGAAAUACUAGGAAUAGAAAAUUUUAUAAUAGAAGUAAAUUUUUACGUACCUUUUGUAUUAUGGUUAAACAACUUAAAAUAGCGAGGAGCUAGUUGGACGAAACAGGGUUGAGCUACUUUUUUCUUUAAUUAAGUUAAAUGGUCUUACUGUAGAAAAAGUAAGAAAAGAGGAAAAGGUAGAAGUGAAAUGCUAAUCGAAAUCUGUGAUAGCUUCUUGCGGGGGAAGAAAGUUAAAGCUUUGAUUUUUUCCAAAAUAAAGAGACCUGUGGAUGAGCGAUAGUCUCUUAGAGGGAGGAACCUUAAAAUAAAGGAAAAGGCACAAACUAAUUUAUUAUAGUCUUAAUUAGGUUACUAAGCAAUUUUUUUUUGUAGUGCGUUUAAGCUAAAGACUUGAAAAUGUUUAGGAUUAUUGUAAAAUUUUCUGUUCCUUAUAUAAGUACCCCGCCGUUUACUAGAAAUAAAGGGAUCAUGUUUAAAUUAGUAAAAUGGUUUUAGUUGAAGGAAUAAAAGAUAACAAGAGUAAUAAAUUAUUUGUUUAGUAAAGUCUUCUUAUUUUAGAAAAUUUCAGAGACAAAAAGUGAAAAAAGGAACUCGGCAAAAUUUUCUACGCCUGUUUACCUAAAACAUGGCCUUUGGUUUAAGAUCAAAAGGUCUGACCUGCCCAGUGACUUAGAAGUUCAACGGCUGCAGUACUCUGACUGUGCAAAGGUAGCAUAAUCAUUAGCCUGUUAAUUGCAGGCUGGAAUCAACGGUUGGACGAUAGAAAAACUGUCUCUUUUCACCUUUUUAGAAAUUAGUAUAUGAGUGAAGAAUCUUAUAUGUUUUAGUGGGACGAGAAGACCCUAUAGAGCUUUAGUCUGUUCUUAAUAUAUACAAUUAGCACCAGACUUUAAUUGGGGCAAUUAUUUUUAUAAUAAAACAAAGAUUAAGUUUAAUAGAUUGAAGUUAAAAAUAAGAGACCCAGUUUAAUAUUGAUAAUUAGAAAAAGUUACCUUAGGGAUAACAGCGUAAUUCUUUUUGAGAGUUCACAUUGACAAAAGAGUUUGCGACCUCGAUGUUGGAUCAAGUUUCCUAGAAGGGCAGCACUUUCUAAGGGUUGGUUUGUUCAACCAUAAAAAACUUACGUGAUCUGAGUUCAGUCCGUCGUGAGACAGGACAGUUUCUAUCUACUAUUUCUUUUUUAUUGUACAAAAGGAACUAAAAAAGAAGGGUAAGGUUUAAAUUCUCCCUUUACCAAUAAAAGAAAAAAUAAAAUUUGUUU
rnacentral:rRNA from 1 species